AGCGAACGUUAGCGGCAGGCUUAACACAUGCAAGUCGAGCGAGAAAGGGGCUUCGGCCCUGAGUAAAGCGGCGGACGGGUGCGUAACACGUGGAUAAUCUGCCCUUCAGUGGGGAAGUAACGUUCCGAAAGGAAACGCUAAUGCCGCAUGUCACAGCAAUGUCUCUGGACAAAGUUGGAAAAGGGGACGCCCGCAAGGGGUUCGUCGCUGGAGGAUGAGUCCGCGGCCCAUCAGCUUGUUGGCGGGGUAAUGGCCCACCAAGGCGAAGACGGGUAGCUGGUCUGAGAGGAUGACCAGCCACACUGGGGACUGAGACACGGCCCAGACUCCUACGGGAGGCAGCAGUGGGGAAUAUUGGACAAUGGGCGAAAGACCUGAUCCAGCCAUGCCGCGUGAGUGAUGAAGGUC
rnacentral:rRNA from 1 species